rnacentral:rRNA from 1 species
GUGUCAGCCGCCGCGGUAAUACGUAGGUGGCAAGCGUUGUCCGGAUUUAUUGGGCGUAAAGAGCGCGUAGGCGGCUUGUCAAGUCCGGGGUGAAAUCUCCCGGCCCAACUGGGAGGGGUCCUCGGAUACUGGCAGGCUCAGAGGGGAGCAGAGGAGAGUGGAAUUCCCGGUGUAGUGGUGGAAUGCGUAGAUAUCGGGAGGAACACCAGUGGCGAAGGCGGCUCUCUGGGCUCUACCUGACGCUGAGGCGCGAAAGCGUGGGGAGCGAACCGGAUUAGAUACCCGGGUAGUCCACGCCGUAAACGUUGGACACUAGGUGUAGGGGGUAUCGACCCCCUCUGUGCCGAAGCUAACGCUUUAAGUGUCCCGCCUGGGGAGUACGGCCGCAAGGCUAAAACUCAAAUGAAUUGACGGGG